CGCAUUUUGAAAGAAAAGUUAUUUUCGUGAUAAAUUAGUGAGCUCAUAAAAAUAAUUUUCGUGCCAAAUUUCGGUGUAAAAUUCAUUGGAAUCAGCAGAAAGGGGUGUCGGUCAGUUGCGAUUAAAAAGCCAAUACGGUGAAACUACAAAUCCUUUUUCGGAGUGAUUUCGGACUACAAGUUAGGUUGAUCCGUCGUAGAGUAGAAUUCCUAUCGUUUUACGUACCCAGCAGCACACAGAUAAGUCUCCUGGCUGACAUUCAGUUUCGAAACCCUUUGAAACAACGACGGCACUGGACACACUCGGAAUUGUUUAUGACUGGUAAGUAAAACUUUUUCCCCUCGCUUGUGAAAUCCCGUUCGAGAUUAUCUACGACAAAGCGCACGACAUUUCUCGUUGCCCUCCGCUAAACCUGGCAGCAUUCGGUUCCCAUCAUGUCCAGUUUCCAGUUCGGUACUUUUUGUCGCCGCCAAUUCAACCACCGCCCCCUCCUCACACAGCAAUAACCUCGGCUCCACUAACCGUAUGAUGGACUCCAGCGAGACACGACCAAACCGAACGGACUUUGACUCGGUCACGGGUGCUCGGCAGCAGCAGCAGCCUCUGCCACUGAGUGAUGGGAUCUUGGCUUCUGCAGGUGUUCGGAAGGAAAACUUUCACACAAGGACACAAAAAAGUUGGUCUGAGUGCGAGACGUCGAGGCGGUUGGUGACGAUGAUCAUCUCGAACGCACUCCCACUUCCAUCUUGCCCAGUGGCAGUGGCACAGUGUCCGAUGAGCUUAGAGUAGUGUGUGUUGUCUAAAAAUCAAUAUCAAAUAUACCAUUGUUUGUUUCGAUGUUCGUCCAAUUUCAAUUGAACAAUAGGAAGUUCAUAAUACGACGAUGGCUUUUGUCAAACUUACCAUAUUGUUCCUCUUCUCAGAUGAAACUUCCAGAGUACAAAUUAAUAAUUCCAAUGCAUCGUGUAUUUCUAGACGUAAUAAUAUCACCAAUAAGAGGCAACAGAUAACAAACUUUCAACCCAUUUUCAAAAUCAGUCUUUUA